UAUGCCCAUAUCACGUUGAAACACCAGUUCUCGUCUGAUCACCUAAGUUAAGCAAUGUCGAAUCUGGUCAGUAUCUAGAUGAGUGACCACUUGGAAAUGCCAGGUACUGUAAG